AGUGAAAACAGGCGAUAAAUCAUUCAAGUUUCUGACCUAUCAGCUUUCGACGGUAUGGUAUUGGCUUACCGUGGCAGUGACGGUUAACGGGGGAUUAGGGUUCGAUUCCGGAGAGGGAGCCUGAGAAACGGCUACCACAUCUAAGGAAGGCAGCAGGCGCGCAAAUUACCCAAUUCUAACAGUUUGAGAGAGGUAGUAACAAGAAAUAACAAUACAAGGCAGUUAAAAUGCUUUGUAAUUGGAAUGAUAGAAAUUUAAACCCUUUUUAAAGUAUCAAUUGGAGGGCAAGUCUGGUGCCAGCAGCCGCGGUAAUUCCAGCUCCAAUAGCGUAUAUUAAAAUUGUUGCAGUUAAAAAGCUCGUAGUUGAAGUUCUGCUGAAAGUAACCGGUCUGCUUUUAAUAAAAGUGGUAUCUUGGUAUGUAUUUAGCAAUGAUGUCCUUUGAAGUGUUUUUUACUUUAUUGUAAUAAAGCAUAUUCAGGACUUUUACUUUGAGAAAAUUAGAGUGUUUCUAGCAGGCUAACGCUUUGAAUACUGCAGCAUGGAAUAAU
rnacentral:rRNA from 1 species